GACGUAGGGGGCCAGCGUUGUUCGGAAUUACUGGGUGUAAAGGGUUCGUAGGCGGUGCGGCAAGUUGGGAGUGAAAUCUCUGGGCUUAACCCAGAGGCUGCUUCCAAAACUGCUGUGCUUGAGUGUGGGAGAGGCGCGUGGAAUUGCAGGUGUAGCGGUGAAAUGCGUAGAUAUCUGCAGGAACACCCGUGGCGAAAGCGGCGCGCUGGACCACUACUGACGCUGAGGAACGAAAGCGUAGGGGAGCAAACAGG
rnacentral:rRNA from 1 species